rnacentral:lncRNA from 1 species
UUUUUUGCCUGUAGAGUUUGGAUGUUACGCUUACGGGGCGGUGACCGUACCGCGACAUAGCAACGCGGUACGGUUAACUGACGAUUAAUUAAUCCAAAACAGUCAUUUUAAUUUUAUUCUUUUAAAGAAAAAUAAAAAUUAGUGUGUUAAUUUAAAUCAACCCUUUAUCUUAAAUUUUGUAUUUUUUACUAUAUGAUUUUUUAAAGGGUUAAAUAUUAUACUCUUAUUUUAUUUUAAAAAUAAUUUUUAUAUAUUUCUAAAUUUUGUUAACCUGUAUUCCCCUCUAAAGUCUAAACUUGUAAUACUAGAUUUUCGUUAAUUUUUAUUAAAUCUUCUUUUUCCUCUCUCCUCUUCUCUUAUAAUUCUUUAAUAAUUCUCUUAGCCUUUAAUCUCAUCUGCUAAAAAAUCGUCCCCAUUAUCAAGGGGAGUAUAUGGUGUCAAAUUAUUAUUAUUUUUUGAGAGAGAGGUAUUUGGGGAGAGGGCUUUUUAAGAAUUUUGUUGGGAUUUGAGGGUCAACGGAACCGGCAAAAAGAAUUCGUCGUCGACGAGACAUCUCACUCCGCCGACUUUUUGAGUUCUUGGCCUAAUGACCUUAUUCCUAUUUGAAUACGGCGACGAUACAUUUACCACCGCCGAUUUCAAACAGUUUACACCAUACAAUAUACUAGCUGUAUCAUAUACAUUAACUUGCAUAGUAUAAACCAAGAUAUUCAUGCCCAAAGGAAGUGCCCACAAGUCAUUUUAUUUUACAUUUCCCAUUAAGUUUCAAUCCAAUAUAUAGUGAAAAAAGUGGAAAGAAGUCAUAUCUUAAUUUUUAAGGCUCCAUAAAAGUAUUUUGUAACAGUGAAAUUAUUAUAGAUUAGGGGAGUUGAAUACAGCAGCUUUUUAGAAUAUCCACAGCUAAAUAUGUGAAGUAGACGAAUCUUCAAACUCUCAAAUGUGAUCAAUUUUGAGCAAGAAUAACAGCACAGCUCAAGAGGUUUCCUACAAGCUAGAUAAGAUCUUAAUACAGUUUCCAUCUAUCUUAAUACAAUCUCUUUUCUCUCUAGCAGCCAUAGCAGUAGUAUACCAUCAACUUACUCCGCAAGCAUUAAAAUUAAGCGAUUCUGCUUGUACAUCUGACUGUUUAUGAAGCUCAGCAAUUUGAACAUCUGACUGUUUAUGAAGCUCAGCAAUUUCUUCCUCUUCGUCUGGAGAAAUUAUUGCCAAAAUCAAGCAUACACGGAAACAGCCAUUUCAUCACCAACCCAACUCGCAAAAAUUUGAAUCA